AUUGAACGCUGGCGACAUGCUUUACACAUGCAAGUCGAACGGUAACAGGGAGCUUGCUCCGCUGACGAGUGGCGAACGGGUGAGUAAUGCGUCGGAACGUGCCGAGUAGUGGGGGAUAACGCAUCGAAAGGUGUGCUAAUACCGCAUACGUACUGAGGUAGAAAGUGGGGGACCUUCGGGCCUCACGCUAUUCGAGCGGCCGACGUCUGAUUAGCUAGUUGGUGAGGUAAAGGCUCACCAAGGCGACGAUCAGUAGCGGGUCUGAGAGGAUGAUCCGCCACACGGGGACUGAGACACGGCCCAGACUCCUACGGGAGGCAGCAGUGGGGAAUUGUGGACAAUGGGCGCAAGCCUGAUCCAGCCAUGCCGCGUGUCUGAAGAAGGCCUUCGGGUUGUAAAGGACUUUUGUCGGGGAGGAAAUCCCCAGCGCUAAUACCGCUGGGGGAUGACAGUACCUGAAGAAUAAGCACCGGCUAACUACGUGCCAGCAGCCGCGGUAAUAC
rnacentral:rRNA from 1 species